rnacentral:rRNA from 1 species
UACAGAGGUCUCAAGCGUUGUUCGGAUUCAUUGGGCGUAAAGGGCGCGUAGGCGGUAGCACAAGUCAGUUGUGAAAUCUCCGGGCUUAACUCGGAAAGGUCAACUGAUACUGUGCGACUAGAGUGCAGAAGGGGCAACUGGAAUUCUCGGUGUAGCGGUGAAAUGCGUAGAUAUCGAGAGGAACACCUGCGGCGAAGGCGGGUUGCUGGGCUGACACUGACGCUGAGGCGCGAAAGCCAGGGGAGCGAACGGG